rnacentral:rRNA from 1 species
CGGAGGGUGCAAGCGUUAUCCGGAUUCACUGGGUUUAAAGGGUGCGUAGGCGGGUAUAUAAGUCAGUGGUGAAAGCUCCGGGCUUAACUUGGAAACUGCCAUUGAUACUGUAUAUCUUGAAUGUCGUUGAGGUUAGCGGAAUGUUGCAUGUAGCGGUGAAAUGCUUAGAUAUGUUACAGAACACCAAUUGUGAAGACAGCUAACUAAGCGAUGAUUGACGCUGAGGCACGAAAGCGUGGGGAGCAAACAGGAUUAGAUACCCUGGUAGUCCACGCCCUAAACGAUGAUUACUCGAUGUUGGCGAUACACUGUCAGCGUCUUAGCGAAAGCGUUAAGUAAUCCACCUGGGGAGUACGCUCGCAAGAGUG